UACGGAGGGGGCGAGCGUUAUUCGGAAUUAUUGGGCGUAAAGGGCGCGUAGGCGGCUUCGUAAGUCAAAGGUGAAAUCCCUCGGCUCAACUGAGGAACUGCCUUUGAAACUGUGAGGCUUGAGGCCGGGAGGGGGUAGCGGAAUUCCCAGUGUAGCGGUGAAAUGCGUAGAUACUGGGAGGAACACCAGUGGCGAAGGCGGCUCUCUGGGACGGUACUGACGCUGAGACGCGAAAGCGUGGGGAGCGAACGGG
rnacentral:rRNA from 1 species